GGGGUAAGUUGCUUAUAAAGGAGGGGAAACUCUGCUGUAAAGAAGGGAAGGAAACCCUGCCCGAGUAGGAGCCAAAAGCAAGCCGUUGGAAGGCACGAGCCCCUUGAAAUCCGUGCAAAACAGUAACCAAAACUGCAAGGUUUGGAUACAAAAAGGUCUCGGUUUUUAUAGAACAGUCCACUUGGAGCGACGUUUGGCCGUGAAUUUGUGCAACCAAGAAGUGGGAAGCUUCGAUCUGUCAGGCUCGGGCUCAAAGGGAGAAGGCCUAGAGGCGGCGCGAGUGUAGUUAUCUUGUUUAGGCGUCUCUUAUGAUGUUGUAGUAUGUUACAAGAUUUGUACUCUUAACUUUGACAAUAUUUUGUCUCGUGGAGAAUGAAGUCUACUUUCCCUGCUAUCUUGAUAAAUUGUGUGUGUGAAUGUUUAUUUUAUGGAAGUCCCAACAUUUCAGGUUACGAUCCUUACUGUAGUAUAUGGGAUUUCCUUAACGCCCGUGUAAAUAUUAUAGUACCUUAUAUACUAUCUUGGGGUUGGGGCGUUACAGUUGGUAUCAGAGCCCUAUAAUUUUGAUUUGGGUUUAAUGAGACUAACUUUGGAGAUGUUGCCCUAUAUCAGGAAUGGAUCCACGUCAGCAGGGCAGCUUGUUUAUAUGUACGAAC